rnacentral:misc_RNA from 1 species
AUUAUCAGUGGGUUAGCUGGAGCGUGAUCUUCUCUGCUCUUAGUUUUUUCAUCCCUGCGCUUGGUUGUGGGUUGUGAUUUUUAUGACAAUUCCUUUCUCGCCAUUUUAAUAAAUGUGGCUCUAAAAUAGGACUCUUUCUCUUUGUCUAAGUGUUGGCUAGCUGUUAGCUAACUGCUGGUUCAUUGUUCUUUUCUCUCUUUCUUUUUUUCUGUGCGUGACAAUGGAAGGUGGACUUCCCAUGCUUAACUGUCUCUUGCAGCACACAUUGAGGAGCCUCUGUACGUGUCCAGAUUCUUCCAAUUCUUCCAAAUGGGUUUAUGCUGUCUUUUGGAGGAUACUACCUAGGAAUUACCCCCCACCAAAGUAAGAAUCUUGAAUUCCAUUCUCAUGUAUCCACUACAAAAAAAUCCCAAGAAUAAGCAAAUGGUUUUGCUAAUAAAGUGAAUGUUAACAGCUAGUAGAUGAUUUCUUCCAUAUUCAUUGCUGUGGAUCACAUUGCUUUCUUGCAGGUGGGAUUAUGGAGGCACUGCCCUUGAUCGCUCCAAAGGAAACAAAAGAAACUGGUAAUUCAGUUGAAUACCGAAAAAUCCAAGUCCAUUUUACUUCAUUUUUUUGAUUUACAUGUUACGUUUCUUUCUCUUUAAGGAUCCUUGUUUGGGAGGAUGGGUUCUGUGAUUUCUAUGAAUGUGAAAGAGCGGGAAGUGGGUACAUGAAGGGGAGGUUUGGAUCAGAUGUUUUCUUCAAAAUGUCUCAUGAGGUCUAUAAUUAUGGAGAAGGGUGAGAAUUUUGCAGUCCUUGAAAUCAUUCUUUUUUUGGUAAGACUACAGCCAAGUUGAUGAAGGAUACUAUCUGGCAACUGCUUACAGGUUAGUAGGGAAAGUUGCAGCAGAUAACAGUCACAAAUGGGUGUUCAGAGAAACCCCUAGUGAGAGUGAUCCUAACCUCAUCUCCUCGUGGAAUAUGUCUAUUGAGCCUGUAAGCAGAUUAGUACAAUUUUUGCUCUUUUAAAGUAUACCCUUCCGACAUGGCUUUGAAAUAAAAUUUUCCUUCACACAGCAACCGAAGGCGUGGGAAUUUCAGUUCAAUUCAGGCAUUCAGGUUUGUUAUUUCACAAAAUCAUUCAAGAUCAACAAGAAAUUAAAAUUCAGCAGAAUUACAAGCAAUCAAGUCUUCUGUUUAUUAGAACUUUUCUUGAUUCACAGACAAUUGCCAUCAUUGCAGUCAGAGAAGGCAUCAUUCAGUUGGGUUCAUUUGAUAAGGUCCCUUUUCCACUUACUCUCUUUCUUUCCAUCUUUCUCAGUUUUUGUGCACUAACUCUGAUAAUUAUCUUCUGAUUUUUUCAGAUUGCGGAAGAUCUCAAUCUUGUGAUCAAUCUACAGAGGAAAUUCAGCUAUCUCCAGAGCAUACCAGGAGUGUUUGCCAUGCAAAGACCAUACCUACCCAUCCAACAUCCAUACAUUCUGAAGCCAAAUACCCGGAUGUUAGAAAGCCAAGAAACAGCUUUCUCAAUUGAUGAUAAGCACCAAAUAACUGGAGUAAAGAGAUUGUUCGAUGAAAGGUUGGAUGAUUAUGCUAUCAAAUCCAUCAACUUAGGUUGGAACAGCCCACAAAAUGGCAUUACAGGAUCACCCAUUUGGUCAAUUCCACCUCUUUUGCCCACUAUGUCUUGCAGCCUUGGAGCUUUGCUAUCGAAGCUACCUUCAGUCAUCCCAUCCUAUGGUACCCUGGAAGCCCUUGACUCAGCUCUGCUUAACAGCAAUAAUAAUAACAGUGCAAGCCAGAAAGCCAAGCUAAGUAGUUGUGGUUUAGCUAGUGAAGCACAACUUGCUAAUACAAAAGUUGAGUCCUCUGGCCAAUUAGAUGGAGGAAAACCCAGUUCUGUAAAACCUAAUUCAGAGUUGGAAAACGGGGCAGUUGGCUUUGGACACCCGAUCAAGGGAGAAAGUACACUAAACCUCAGUUAAUUAGGAGCAACAAAUUGCAUUUAUUAUUGGCUUUUGGGUUGUUGGAUCAUAGUUCUCAACCUCAAGUCGUUUGCUUAUACCUUAUUAGUGAAUAUGCAACCAUUUAUGCAUCUAGUUCUUUUUUCUUCUUUAAUCCUUUUCGUUUUAUGUAUGUAAAAUCCCUGACAUUGCAUCACCAGCAUUAAAACAGUCUUAAAGUUAGCUCAACCAUCUCAUUAUGUCUGAAAAUAACUCUUGUGCAUGUGUGGUGGUCGAAAAUAAUUGAAUUCAACCCUUUUUUAACCAAAAAAAAAAAAGUUCUUUUAUUAGGGUUUUUAAUUAAUGACCCAACUGAGUUACGCCAAUCUCAGCUAAUAAUUAAUCAAAUUUUCUAAAUGAUGCAUCACCGUGGGCAUACUUGUGAGGG